AAUGAAAUCUGUAAAUACGGUGUCUAUGAAGACUUAAUAGGGAAUCUGGUGUAAAUCCAGAACUGUCCCCGCAACUGUAAGUGAUGACGAACUAAGGAAUGUCCACUAUCUAUAUAAGAUGGGAAGGCCUUAUAGUAGGAUGAAGCACGAGUCAGGAGACCUGCCGUAUUUAUCACGUACAA
rnacentral:ncRNA from 2 species